rnacentral:rRNA from 1 species
AGUGACGUCAAGUCAUCAUGGCCCUUACCGGCCUGGGCGUACACACGUGCUACAAUGGUCGGUACAAAGGGUUAGGCCAAGCCGCGAGGUGGAGCUAAUCUCAUAAAACCGAACCGUAGUCCGGAUCGCAGUCUGCAACUCGACUGCGUGAAGUCGGAAUCGCUAGUAAUCGUGAAUCAGAAUGUCACGGUGAAUACGUUCCCGGGCCUU